AACCCUUAUCUUUAGUAGCCAGCAGUAAGAUGGGCACUCUAGAGAGACUGCCGGGGAUAACCCGGAGGAAGGUGGGGAUGACGUCAAAUCAUCAUGCCCCUUAUGACCAGGGCUACACACGUGCUACAAUGGCGUAAACAGAGGGAAGCGAGAUGGAGACAUGGAGCAAAUCCCAAAAAUAACGUCCCAGUUCGGAUUGUAGUCUGCAACCCGACUACAUGAAGCUGGAAUCGCUAGUAAUCGCGGAUCAGAAUGCCGCGGUGAAUACGUUCCCGGGUCUUGUACACACCGCCCGUCACACCAUGGGAGUAGGUAAUGCCCGAAGUCGGUGACCUAACCGCAAGGAAGGAGCCGCCGAAGGCAGGACUUAUAACUGGGGUGAAGUCGUAACC
rnacentral:rRNA from 1 species